rnacentral:rRNA from 1 species
UGGGGAAUUUUGGACAAUGGGGGAAACCCUGAUCCAGCCAUCCCGCGUGUGCGAUGAAGGCCUUCGGGUUGUAAAGCACUUUUGGCAGGAAAGAAACGUCAUGGGUUAAUACCCCGUGAAACUGACGGUACCUGCAGAAUAAGCACCGGCUAACUACGUGCCAGCAGCCGCGGUAAUACGUAGGGUGCAAGCGUUAAUCGGAAUUACUGGGCGUAAAGCGUGCGCAGGCGGUUCGGAAAGAAAGAUGUGAAAUCCCAGAGCUCAACUCUGGAACUGCAUUUUUAACUCCCGGGGUAGAAUGUGUCAGAGGGAGGUGGAAUUCCGCGUGUAGCAUUGAAAUGCGUAGAUAUGCUGAGGAACACCGAUGGCGAAGGCAGCCUCCUGGGAUAACACUGACGCUCAUACACGAAGGCGUGGGGGGCAAACAAU